ACUCAUUAUCAACCUCACAAACCUAAACCUAAAACGGCUAAGCCUGUCGUCAAAUACCAAAAAAAUAAACACGAGCGCCGUCAAGCUCUGCAUGUACGAUCGGUAACUCCAUCUUAACACAAAAGUUGAGAUGGGUUCUUAGAUCAGGUUCCGCCGUUAGAUCGAGUCAUGGUCUUGUCUUAUAGAAAGCAAUUUCAAGAAUUGGUUUUCGGAACCAAAACAUAUUCGAGGAUAUGCAAAAAGAGUAGAAGAUGAUGUUUUGCGAGGCUUCUCCCACUUGUUACGAAGAUUAGCCAAUUAUACAUACACCAUCCACUUUGUAAUUUAGUUUUCUUUUUCACUUUGUAAUUUUAUGUGUUUAUGUAUAAAGGUUGAAAUCAGUUUCAUAGUGAAAGCAAAUUUAUGUUUAUACAUUA